CCUACGGGGGGCUGCAGUGGGGAAUAUUGGACAAUGGGCGAAAGCCUGAUCCAGCCAUGCCGCGUGUGUGAAGAAGGCCUUCGGGUUGUAAAGCACUUUCAGUGGGGAAGAAAGCCUUGGGGCUAAUACCCUCGAGGAAGGACAUCACCCACAGAAGAAGCACCGGCUAACUCCGUGCCAGCAGCCGCGGUAAUACGGAGGGUGCGAGCGUUAAUCGGAAUUACUGGGCGUAAAGCGCGCGUAGGCGGUCUGAUAAGCCGGUUGUGAAAGCCCCGGGCUCAACCUGGGAACGGCAUCCGGAACCGUCAGGCUAGAGUGCAGGAGAGGAAGGUAGAAUUCCCGGUGUAGCGGUGAAAUGCGUAGAGAUCGGGAGGAAUACCAGUGGCGAAGGCGGCCUUCUGGACUGACACUGACGCUGAGGUGCGAAAGCGUGGGUAGCAAACAGGAUUAGAUACCCUUGUAGUC
rnacentral:rRNA from 1 species